rnacentral:rRNA from 1 species
GCAAGUCGAGCGCCCACUUCGGUGGGAGCGGCAGACGGGUGAGUAACACGUGGGAACCUACCCUUUAGUACGGAAUAGCCUCGGGAAACUGGGAAUAAUACCGUAUACGCCCCAUGGGGGAAAGAUUUAUCGCUAAAGGAUGGGCCCGCGUUGGAUUAGCUAGUUGGUGAGGUAAAGGCUCACCAAGGCGAUGAUCCGUAGCUGGUCUGAGAGGGUGAUC